AAAAUAGAAUGGUCAUGUAACUGAAGUGGAAGAAAGACGUUCAACCAUCUCUAUGUUCCUAUUUUAGACCCCUUCAUAUAGCUGACAUUCUUGAGGACCUUGGUUUAUUCUCUCAGCAUCAUGAAAGUGAUUCAUUGAGACGCUGGCUUCAAUAAUCUGACUGGCUUCUAACUCUAGAAGCUACUCUUUUCCUGGAUCAGGAGUCUAUUAGAAGGGUGGGGGAUGAUACUAUAGGAGGGCCAACUAUUUCUCGACAACUGCGACUAAUCCGAAUUUUAAUGAGGGAUCUCUUGAUUGGGUGGACUAUGUGCACAACCAUGGCCUUGUGCAUACAGAGUUGAGGCUUGAAAAUUUGCAUAUCAGCGCGGUGGAUAAACAUAUUAAAGUUGGGCCCGUAAUGAGACCCAACAUUAAAGGUAGGCACUUCACUCGGGUGUUUUCUCGAGCUUAUGACUAUGGAAUGGGUGUUGGUUCUUAUCGCUCCUGUAGUUUCAUUGGCUUGGCUUCCAAUAAUGGUUUAUACAAGAAUGUCUUGUAAAUUCUUGACAUCUAGUUUCCUUCUUUUUUUUUAAUUAAACCAUUGAUUUACCUGGUAUGGCUCCGUGUUUUAGUAAAAAGGGGACUCAUAAAGUGACCAUACCGUAUAUUGUUGCAAAAAUGAGUUAAUACUGUUCCUUGAUGAUAUGUUUUCUGUAAACCCCAUUGAUUUCAUGAUCAACAUAGUUAUCUGGAUUCCCAAAUCCAUUUUUGUCCAAAAUAAAGCAAGAAACAUUCUUCA